ACCAUUAAUAACCCCCAAUACACUAGUGUUAUAUCAAACAAACCAUUUUUCCCCCCAAGUAUGGGCGACAGAAAAGGGACUAACGGCGCAAUAGAGAAAGUACCGCAAGGGAACGCUGAAAGAGAAAUGAAAAAACCCAGUAAAGCCUUGAAAAGCAGAGAUUUAAACUCGUACCUUUUGCAUCAUGAUUUAGCUAGAAACAUUCAGGCAAAGAGAACUUUAGUCUGACUUCCCGAAACUAAGUGAGCUACUCCAAGACAGCCUAUUAAUAGGGCACACCCGUCUCUGUGGCAAAAGAGUGGGAAGAACUUUGAGUAGAGGUGACAGACCUACCGAACUUAGUUAUAGCUGGUUGCCUGGGAAAUGAAUAGAAGUUCAGCCUUCCGGCUUCUUUUCUCACCUCAGUCCAAACUUCCUACAGACACCCAAAGAAACCGCGAGAGUUAGUCAAAGGGGGUACAGCCCUUUUGAAAUAAGACACAACUUUUCCAGGAGGAUAAAGAUCAUAAUAAAUUAAAGUAAAAUGUUUUGGUGGGCCUAAAAGCAGCCACCCUCAUAGAAAGCGUUAAAGCUCAGACAUAUCACUUACCUCCUUAUUCUGAUAACUUAUCUUAAUCCCCUAACUUUACCAGGCCGCCCCAUGCAAUCAUGGGAGUGACCAUGCUAAUAUGAGUAAUAAGAGAGUCUCGACUCUCUCCCCGCACACAUGUAAGUCGGAACGGACCAACCACCGAACCUUAACGGCCCCAAACAAAGAGGGCAAUGAACUACAGACCAAACAACUAGAAGAACAUUCAAUCUUUAACCGUUAAACCCACACUGGUGUGCCCCUUGGGAAAGACUAAAAGAAAAAGAAGGAACUCGGCAAACACAUGAAGCCUCGCCUGUUUACCAAAAACAUCGCCUCUUGCUGAAACAAAGAAUAAGAGGUCCCGCCUGCCCUGUGACUAUAAGUUUAACGGCCGCGGUAUUUUGACCGUGCGAAGGUAGCGCAAUCACUUGUCUUUUAAAUGAAGACCUGUAUGAAUGGCAUAACGAGGGCUUAGCUGUCUCCUUUUUCCAGUCAAUGAAAUUGAUCUCCCCGUGCAGAAGCGGGGAUAAGACCAUAAGACGAGAAGACCCUGUGGAGCUUUAGACACUAGAGUAAGUCAUGUUAAACACCCCUAAAUAAAGGGCCAAACCAAAUGAAGAUUACCUCGAUGUCUUUGGUUGGGGCGACCGCGGGGAAACACACAACCCCCACGUGGAAUGGGAACACUUCCUCCUACAACUAAGAGCUACCGCUCUAGUUAACAGAAUUUCUGACCAAUAAGAUCCGGCAGUGCCGAUCAACGGACCGAGUUACCCCAGGGAUAACAGCGCAAUCCCCUUUUAGAGCCCAUAUCGACAAGGGGGUUUACGACCUCGAUGUUGGAUCAGGACAUCCUAAUGGUGCAGCCGCUAUUAAGGGUUCGUUUGUUCAACGAUUAAAGUCCUACGUGAUCUGAGUUCAGACCGGAGUAAUCCAGGUCAGUUUCUAUCUAUGCUAUGAUUUUUUCUAGUACGAAAGGACCGAAAAGAAGAGGCCCAUGCUUCCAGUACGCCUCCCCCCCACCUAAUGAAAACAACUAAAAUAGGCAAAAGGGCAUGCCCCCUUUUGCCUGAGAUUACGGCAU
rnacentral:rRNA from 1 species